CGAACGCUGGCGGCGUGCUUAACACAUGCAAGUCGAACGGUAAGGCCCUUCGGGGUACACGAGUGGCGAACGGGUGAGUAACACGUGGGUAAUCUGCCCUGCACUUCGGGAUAAGCCUGGGAAACUGGGUCUAAUACCGGAUAUUCAGCUUCUGCCGCAUGGUGGUGGUUGGAAAGUUUUUCGGUGCAGGAUGAGCCCGCGGCCUAUCAGCUUGUUGGUGGGGUAAUGGCCUACCAAGGCGACGACGGGUAGCCGGCCUGAGAGGGUGAUCGGCCACACUGGGACUGAGACACGGCCCAGACUCCUACGGGAGGCAGCAGUGGGGAAUAUUGCACAAUGGGCGAAAGCCUGAUGCAGCGACGCCGCGUGGGGGAUGACGGUCUUCGGAUUGUAAACCCCUUUCAGUAGGGACGAAGCGCAAGUGACGGUACCUGCAGAAGAAGCACCGGCCAACUAC
rnacentral:rRNA from 1 species